UGAUUUAGCACUGUCUAUGUCAGAAUUUGAUAUCAGUGUUAUGUUUACUUCGUAACCUUUCUUUAUGUUCUGGAACCAUUUCACAGGGAUUGGAAUUAUUUACCUACUGGUUUUGAAGAGCUGAUCUGUGAAAUUGUAUAGUCUUAGUAUUAUUUGGGGGAAGGUAUAUUUACUGAGACAAUGGGUAAGAGAGGAGCAUCAGUGUACUAGCCAGGACUUUGUAGGACAGGUUGAUCUGUAUGCCCUUGUAUAAUACAAGCUGAAAUGCUACCUGAGCCUCUUUCCUGUAAGCUCACACAUGAAUCUUGGAUUUUAUAUCUCUUUGAUAAAGAAAGCCCACCACAGAGCCUUCUAAUUGCUGAAGAAAUAAGAAAAUAAAAACCAAGUCAGAAUUUGAUCUAAUUCUUAGAGAUCCCCAUUUUAAUCCUUUCAGGCUCAGGCCCACCCACAGAAUUUUAGUCCAGUAGGUGUAAAGUGGGACCUAAGAUUUUAUAUUUUGAACAGAUCUUCAGAUGAUGCUUGUGUUCUAGGGACCACACUUUGAGAAGCAUUUCUCUAAGAUAUAGUUUGUGUAGAGAAAACCUGAAUAAAUGCUUGAUCAUUUCUAUUUAUUUCUCAGUUUUUGGAAUAAUUAUUCAGUUCCUUAAAAACCUUGAAAGGUGACCAGUAAUUUUUGUUCUAGUGACAUUAAGAACUCAAGCAUUUAAAAACAGAUUUGAUAUGGUCCAAUUACUUGUAGUUGUUCAUUUUGUUUUUGGUCCUCAGAUUGUCUCAUGUUUGGACAAUGGGAGCCCCUUCAAAGUUGACUCCUGUGUUCUUUUGGAAUGACCUACCCCAACAAUCUUUGAAAGCUUCUCCACUUUUGGGUACCA
rnacentral:lncRNA from 1 species